CCUACGGGCGGCAGCAGUGAGGAAUAUUGGUCAAUGGGCGGGAGCCUGAACCAGCCAAGUCGCGUGAGGGAAGACGGUCCUAUGGAUUGUAAACCUCUUUAGGCGGGGAGCAAUGCCGGGCACGCGUGCCCGGAGGGAGAGUACCCGCAGAAUAAGCCUCGGCUAACUCCGUGCCAGCAGCCGCGGUAAUACGUAGGUGGCGAGCGUUCUCCGGAAUGAUUGGGCGUAAAGGGUGCGCAGGCGGUCCUGCAAGUCUGGAGUGAAACGCAUGAGCUCAACUCAUGCAUGGCUUUGGAAACUGGAGGACUGGAGAGCAGGAGAGGGCGGUGGAACUCCAUGUGUAGCGGUAAAAUGCGUAGAUAUAUGGAAGAACACCAGUGGCGAAGGCGGCCGCCUGGGCUGUGGCUGACGCUGAGGCACGAAAGCGUGGGGAGCAAAUAGGAUUAGAUACCCGGGUAGUC
rnacentral:rRNA from 1 species